GACGAACGCUGGCGGCGUGCCUAAUACAUGCAAGUAGAACGCACAGUUUAUACCGUAGCUUGCUACACCAUAGACUGUGAGUUGCGAACGGGUGAUUAACGCGUAGGUAACCUGCCUGGGAGCGGGGGAUAACUAUUGGAAACGAUAGCUAAUACCGCAUAAUAUUAAUUAUUGCAUGAUAAUUAAUUGAAAGGUGCAAUUGCACCACUACCAGAUGGACCUGGGUUGUAUUAGCUAGUAGGUGAGGUAACGGCUCACCUAGGCGAAGAUACAUAUCCGAACUGAGGGGGGGGACCGCCACACUGGGAAUGGGAACCGGGCCAGGAUCCUAAGGGAAGGAGCAGUAGGGGAAUCUUGGGAAAGGACGAAAGGCUGAACGAGCCACGCCGCGGGAGGGAAGGAGGGUUUCGGAUCGUAAAGCUCUGUUGUAAGGGAAGAACGGGUGGGAGAGUGGAAAGUUCACACUGUGACGGUAUCUUACCAGAAAGCGACGGCUAACUACGUG
rnacentral:rRNA from 1 species